rnacentral:rRNA from 1 species
UACGUAGGGGGCAAGCGUUGUCCGGAUUUAUUGGGCGUAAAGAGCGUGUAGGCGGCCAGGUAGGUCUGCUGUGAAAACUCGAGGCUUAACCUCGAGAUGUCGGCGGAAACCAUCUGGCUAGAGUCCGGAAGAGGAGAAUGGAAUUCCCGGUGUAGCGGUGAAAUGCGCAGAUAUCGGGAAGAACACCCGUGGCGAAGGCGGUCCUCUGGGACGGUACUGACGCUGAGACGCGAAAGCGUGGGGAGCGAACAGG